GUGCCGUUGGUGUAGGGGUAACACACAGCCUGAAUUUGGAACAUUUGCCCUUAAUGUAAGGUUGAGUCUUGGGUUCAAAUCCCAGACGGUGCG